rnacentral:tRNA from 1 species
GGGGGUGCUUGGUAGAAGACCUAGCUCGUCAACUAGGAUCUUGGGGGUUCGAAUCCCCCCACCUCCA